UACGAAGGGGGCUAGCGUUGCUCGGAAUCACUGGGCGUAAAGCGCGUGUAGGCGGCUUUGCAAGUCGGGUGUGAAAGCCCUCAGCUCAACUGAGGAAGUGCGCCCGAAACUGCAGAGCUUGAGUGCCGGAGAGGGUGGCGGAAUUCCCCAAGUAGAGGUGAAAUUCGUAGAUAUGGGGAGGAACACCGGUGGCGAAGGCGGCCACCUGGACGGUAACUGACGCUGAGACGCGAAAGCGUGGGGAGCAAACAGG
rnacentral:rRNA from 1 species